UAUAGCUUUUGUUUCAGGAGAUUAUUCACUAGACAUAAAAGACUUGACGUUAGAAGAUGAUGGAAAAUACCAGUGCCAAGUCAGCUCAGGGUUAAACGGAGAACCAGCCAUCCGUUCCCGGUAUGCCCAGGUGACGGUGCUGGUCGCCCCGAUCCUCCCAGGAUUAUACAGGGUGCGUUUAUAGACGCCACAGAGAACCAACCUAUCGAUAUAGAAUGCGAGUCGGUUGGCGGGAAACCGGCUGCCGAGAUAACUUGGUUGGAUGGCAACCAGCAAGUAAUAAAGAAACACGUGAAGAGCAAAGUGGAGUUGCUAGAGGAUGGACAGAGAUUCAAAACGAGAUCGGUGCUGCGGUUAACCCCACGCAAGGAGGACCACAAUCAGUCAAUAACCUGUCAGGCGCAGAACACAGCCGACCGGGCGCAUCGGAUGGCCACUGUGCAUAUUGAGGUAAAAUACGCGCCGAAAGUGAACCUGACGA